UCUCCUCUAYGCGACGGUGAGUAUGCUUAGGAACUGCCUAUAGUGGGGACUACWUUCGGAAACGGAAUUGGCUAAUACCGCAUACGUCGUAMGGAABAAAUGACAGGGGGAUCUUCGGGACCUUNNCCUAWYAGAUGWGCCUAAGUCGGAUUAGCUAGUUGGUGAGGUAAAGGCCUACCAAGGCGACGA
rnacentral:rRNA from 1 species